GUUUUAUAGUAUAGUGGGGUGCAGUAUGGUAUUAUAGUAUAGUGGGGUGCAGUUUGUUAUUAUAGUAUAGUGGGGUGCAGUAUGUUGGUAUAGUGUAGUGGGGUGCAGUUUGUUUUAUAGUAUAGUGGGGUGCAGUAUAGUAUUAUAGUAUAGUGGGGUGCAGUUUGUUAUUAUAGUAUAGUGGGGUGCAGUAUGUUGGUACAGUGUAGUGGGGUGCAGUUUGUUUUAUAGUAUAGUGGGGUACAGUAUGGUAUUAUAGUAUAGUGGGGUGCAGUAUGUUGGUAUAGUGUAGUGGGGUGCAGUUUGUUUUAUAGUAUAGUGGGGUGCAGUAUGUUAUUAUAGUAUAGUGGGGGUGCAUUAUGGUAUUAUAGUAUAGUGGGGUGCAGUAUGUUAUUAUAGUAUAGUGGGGGUGCAGUAUGGUAUUAUAGUAUAGUGGGGUGCAGUGUGUUAUUAUAGUAUAGUGGGGGUGCAGUAUGGUAUUAUAGUAUAGUGGGGUGCAGUAUGUUAUUAUAUUAAAG